UACGAAGGGGGCGAGCGUUGUUCGGAUUUACUGGGCGUAAAGGGCGCGCAGGCGGCUCAUUUUGUCAGGCGUGAAAGCCCCGGGCUUAACCUGGGAACUGCGUUUGAUACGGAUGGGCUAGAGUUCGGGAGAGGAGAGUGGAAUUCCCAGUGUAGAGGUGAAAUUCGUAGAUAUCAGGAGGAACACCGGUGGUGUAGACGGCUUUCUGGACCGUAACUGACGCUGAGACACGAAAGCGUGGGUAGCAAACAGG
rnacentral:rRNA from 1 species